UACGGGGGGGGCAAGCGUUGUUCGGAAUUACUGGGCGUAAAGGGCUCGUAGGUGGCCAACUAAGUCAGACGUGAAAUCCCUCGGCUUAACCGGGGAACUGCGUCUGAUACUGGAUGGCUUGAGUUUGGGAGAGGGAUGCGGAAUUCCAGGUGUAGCGGUGAAAUGCGUAGAGCUCAGGAGGAACACCCGUGGCGAAGGCGGCUCUCUGGGUCCGCCCUGACGCUGAGGCGCGAAAGCGUGGGGAGCGAACGGG
rnacentral:rRNA from 1 species